CUUUAUCGACAGAACCAAAAAGUUCUGAAAGAUCAUGGAUCGUGAUAUUGUUCGGGAUUUCUCGCAAUUCCUCGAAAUUCGUUAGAGAAAUUUCAUCUCUCCGCUGGGAACGAUUAACGUUCGCUCGAACUGCACUGCGCCUCCUUUACGCUCGAUUAAAUUCAGAUAAAAGAAAAUAAAUUAUACCCGCAUAAAAAUCUUAUAUAUCGUGUAUAUCGGAUGCAUUCUUUGUAACUUUUCGAACAUAACCUUCAAACGUGAGAUUAUCUUUGCUUAGGUAAUAACACGACUUCUAUCACGGCUCUUUCACGUUUGAUAGAACGUCCGGAAGGAUGCCGGCGCCAAAUUCCAUCAGCGUAGCCGUAAUAUGCUCCAGUAAUAUGAACAGGAGCAUGGAGGCACACGCCUUUCUGAGCAAAAAAGGAUUCAAUGUGAAAUCAUUUGGGACUGGUGACAAGGUCAAACUACCUGGUACUGCACCGGAUCGCCCUAAUAUCUACGAUUUUGGAACUUCGUACGAAGAAAUUUACAAUGAUCUAUUGAUGAAAGAUAAACAAUAUUACACUCAAAAUGGUUUAUUGCAUAUGUUGGAUCGGAACCGUCGGAUAAAACCUAGGCCAGAACGGUUUCAAUUGUCCAAGGAUAAGUUUGAUAUUUUAAUUACGUGCGAGGAACGUGUGUACGAUCAAGUAAUUGAAUGCAUGGAAUCUAGACCUAAAGAAGAUAAUCAACCCGUACAUUUGAUCAAUAUUGACAUUCAGGAUAAUCAUGAAGAAGCUACAGUAGGAUCGUUCCUUAUAUGCGAAUUAGUGACAGUGUUGACGAAUAGCGAAGAUUUAGACAAUGAUAUAGACGAACUACUUCAUGAAUUUGAGUCCAAGUUUGCAAGAACAAUAUUACAUACUGUGUUAUUUUACUGAGAAUCCUAUACAGAAAUCGUGAGAAAUCCGAUGUUGAUCGAACUCGAAAUUUAUUUAUAACAAAAGUUAAAUUAUAUAUAAUUUACUGCGCCACAGGUCCAUGGAUCUUUUUGACGUGUAUAUCCUGGAAGAACUUCCGAUCCACGUCAUUAGUCGUUAUCCGACAUCCUUCAUUUACGCGAAUCGUUCGAGGUGGUACGUGCUUGUUCAUGGAUAUAUUGCGACGUCGCGGCGGAAAUGUGUGAAAGCGCUCUUGGUUAAACGUUAGCGGUGCAACGCAGUAUAGCAAUUUACCAUUAACGAAAUCUU